AUUGAACGCUGGCGGCAGGCCUAACACAUGCAAGUCGAACGAGUGGCGGACGGGUGAGUAAUGUCUGGGAAACUGCCUGAUAGAGGGGGAUAACUACUGGAAACGGUAGCUAAUACAGCAUACCAUCGGAUGUGCCCAGAUGGGAUUAGCUAGUAGGCGGGGUAAAGGCUCACCUAGGCGACGAUCCCUAGCUGGUCUGAGAGGAUGACCAGCCACACUGGAACAGUGACACGGUCCAGACUCCUACGGGAGUCAGCAGUGGGGAAUAUUGCACAAUGGGCGCAAGCCUGAUUCAGCCAUGCCGCGUGUAUGAAGAAGGCCUUCGGGUUGUAAAGUACUUUCAGCGGGGAGGCGUUACCAACAGAAUAAGCACCGGCUAACUGCGUGCCAGCAGCCGCGGUAAUAC
rnacentral:rRNA from 1 species